GGUAAAUUUUUUUUGUUUGCAUUUUUUUCCAGGUUUGUCAGCUGUGUAUGCAUGUUUAUUUUUAAAUAUGUCUUCUCGCAUGCAUUUUUUUUUCCAAUACAACUAUACAAAUGUUAACGAAACUGUUCUCUUGACAAAAAAAUAUCCCUUUAAUACACACUGCAAAAUUAUAUCUUUAAGCGCCAUAUAUGGACAAGUUUUAUGCUCACCCGGAAAAUUUUU